AUGGCCGGGCGAGUGUGCAGCGAGGAACGCGAGACGAACUUGCCGAGAAAUGCCGAUACUCUACCGCGCGAAAUUACGUCAACAUCCACGUCAAAGAAUAACGACGUGGCCAAAGAGAGGAUAGCGAUAGAAGAACGACUGGAUGCUAAAAUGUUUUCUUACGAAAUUAUUUGUUUUCUCUUUGCUAUUACUUUUACCGCUAUGGCUGCUCUGCAUAGCUCACCACCUAAACUCUCCAGGCCUCCUACAGCAAAACCUUUUUUUGAUCAGAACUCUGUGAUAUUAGACUUCUAUAAGGGUCAUCUGGAUGCAAUGAUUGAGAGGAUAACGCAAGCAGAUUUUAGUUUUGUUAUGUAUUAUGCGCCUUGGGAUGCAGAAAGUCAGGUGCUUCGACAUGAAUUUGAAAGUGUUGCUCAGUUUUAUUAUCCGCAGAUAUUUUUUGCAGCCAUUAAUUGUUGGCAUCCUGAGUCAGAAUGCAGAGCUCAAUAUAAUAAAAUUCAUGGUUAUCCAGUGUUAAUGUUAUAUCCAUCCAGAGAUUCUGGUAUUAAUUAUAGAGGAAUACGUACGGCACCGUAUAUGAUUCGUUUUCUUGAUGCGCUUAUGAAUCCUAUUAUUAGAAUAACGCAUAAAGAACAACUAAUGGAAUUAUUGGUUACUUAUGACGCAGUAGUCGUUGGGUAUUUUAAUUUUACACGAUUGGAUAGAACUCCUGGAUACAGGGAGUUUUACAAGGCCGCAAUACGAUCAUUGGAAAGAGAUCCUAAUAGAGAAUUGGUGUUUGCUAUAGUGACUAGUGCGUCAUCUAGCAAACUGCAUUACGGAGUUUACAAAUUUCCAUCAGCAAGUUUGCUUAUGUGGAAUGAAUCUUUAAGUUAUCCAGAAGGCAAUGAGUGGACUUCCGAGAACAUCUUAAACUGGAUUAGCAGUUCCGUACAUCAGCCAUCUCUCUGGCUACAGCCUCCUGGAAUCAAGGCGCUUACUCUCGCACCUUAUCUUCGUGAAGGACCAGUUUUAUUUCUGUUUACACCACGAAAUCCACUUCAUACAGAAAAUUACAUUUAUAAUCUGGUAAGGGAGAUCGGUUUGCAAUAUUACAACUGUGCGGAUAGUAUGCUAGUGAAAGAUAUAGUAACACGUCUGGAAGCAAAACGACGUACAGCAAUGAUUCGACACUUUUCUAGGAAUCAAGAAUGUGCCAAUCUAAAGAAAAAUAACACUUAUACCGAGCAAAUAACGGAAUCAGUUGCUAGCAUAUUAAUUCAGCAGUGGCUUAACAACAGUUGUUGUGCAAAUGUUGCAAUGAAUAAAUGUCUUCUAUGCAAGACAAACAUAAAUUCAUUAGAGAAAGAAAUUUGCACAGACAUUUCUAAAAAAAUUGAUAAUGUCUGCAAAGAUACUGAUAUAUUCACAAUUCCUGUUACGAUCAAACAACAUGGAAAGCAGAUAUAUAAUUAUAACAAAAAUUAUGUAUCAAUAAAAUUACAAAAAGAAUCAAAAUUAAAAAGGCUGCAUGCAGAUAUAGAAUAUGAAUCAUCAUUAUUGAAGGAAGAAAACGAUUCGCGAUCCGCAACCAUGGUGAGAAGAGAUUUUUUAAAAGAGAAUUGUAAAAGAUGGUUGGCUGGGAAUGAUUAUCAUCCAUCAUUAUUUCCACGAGAUUCUCCAAGACAGUUCAAUAUCAGCUUAAAAGAAUCAGUGUGCAAAACUAACAAGACAUUAGCAUUGAUAGCUAUUGAUAGUUUGCAUUACUUCCAUUUUGCAGAACAUCUUGGGAUUGAUAUCUCGAAACGGAAAAAUAAAACCACUGUUGUUAUCUUGGAUGCUGCAACAGAUUGAUCAUCUCAACAAGACCCUUUAAUUGAUGGAUUGAUGACAAAAUGGUAGCUGCUAAUUUGUCUCUUUCACAUUGAUGGGCUGUGGAUACAGGGGAUGCAGGCACAAUAGGUGAUUGCCGUGAUUUAGAUGACCGUGAUUUAGAAUCUUUAACUUUACUCCUGAUCAACAUUUCCUGCUGAUUGAUCUUUUCCUGCAAACAUCAUUUACUCGCUGAAGAGGACAAACUGAAUUGACGUAUUCUGGCAUAACAUUGCGUGCAAAAGUUUCAAGCUCUGGUAAAUGUUUAGAAGCUUCAAAACCUUUCAAUGAUUGUUGUUAAAUCCUGUCAUAUAUUUAAUAGGUUCUUCAAGGACACAGGCAAUUCUACAUCUAUUUCUUUUUCUAUGACUUCCCAAAAGUCCUUGCAAGGCUUCUCUACUUCUUCUACUUGCUCUUGAUCGUUUUCUUCCUCAAUUAGUUUCUCUUGCUGGUUUUUGCUUUUGUCUUGAACUGUGUUGCUCCAAGCUUUUUUCAGUUGUAUUCUCUAUUUUGUGUUUUGUGUUUAUUGUAAACAGCUGUAAAUGAGAAAAAAAAUUAAAAUUUAAUUAUUGAUUUUUUUCAUUUUACAUUUGGAGAUAGAGUCUGAAACAGAGUCUGAAGCCCUUUGAUGGCAUUUUCCGAGUUGUAUAAGCAGCAGUUCUUUAUUUGAUUAACACAUAAAAGCAUAAUGUAUAAUUGGAAUAAAGAUAUAAAUAAAAUCAAAA